AUACGUAGGUGACAAGCGUUAUCCGGAUUUACUGGGUGUAAAGGGCGUGUAGGCGGUUUAGCCAGGCAGCAGUAAAAUUCCUGGGCUCAACUCGGGCGCUGCUUCUGAAACUGCAGUACUUGAGGGCUGGAGGGGCGAGCGGAAUUCCUAGUGGUGCGGUAAAAUGCGCAGAUAUUAGGAAGAACACCGGUGGCGCAGGCGGCUAACUGGACAGUAACUGACGCUGAGGCGCGAAAGCGUGGGGAGCAAACAGGAUGAGAUACCCUGGUAUUCCUCGCCGUAAACGAUGAAUACUAGGUGUAGGGGGUAUCGACUCCCUCUGUGCCGCAGUUAACACAAUAAGUAUUCCGCCUGGGGAGUACGGCCGCAAGGUUGAAACUCAAAGGAAUUGACGGGG
rnacentral:rRNA from 1 species